AUGCCAGACAGCUCUCCCGCACACUCACUCGCGGCUAGCUCACACACCUCUCAUCUCAUGGUGCUCCAGACCGCUCAGCAAGAACCAUCCCUGACGCGUCCGCCUCACUGCAGCGUCGCCAGCGCGCGCUCGCCGGCGGCCAUGGACACCAGCCCUGCAACUCCCCUGCUCCUCCAGCCUCCUGCUCCCAGCAUUGACCCGUUCGCCGCCAAGGCGGCCGUCAACAAGGGCGGCGGCGCGGCAACCGCGGUGUACGACCUCCGGAGGGAGCCGAAGAUCCCCGCCCCGUUCGUGUGGCCGCACGCCGAGGUGCGCCCCACCACGGCCCAGGAGCUGGCCGUGCCGGUGGUGGACGUGGGCGUGCUGCGCAAUGGCGACGCCGCGGGGCUCCGCCGCGCCGUGGCGCAGGUGGCCGCGGCGUGCGCCACGCACGGGUUCUUCCAGGUGUCCGGGCACGGCGUGGACGAGGCCCUGGCGCGCGCGGCGCUGGACGGCGCGAGCGGCUUCUUCCGGCUGCCGCUGGCCGAGAAGCAGCGCGCGCGGCGCGUCCCGGGGACCGUGUCCGGGUACACGAGCGCGCACGCCGACCGGUUCGCCUCCAAGCUCCCCUGGAAGGAGACCCUCUCCUUCGGCUUCCACGACCGCGCCGGCGCCGCGCCCGUCGUGGUGGACUACUUCACCAGCACCCUCGGGCCGGACUACGAGCCAAUGGGGAGGGUGUACCAGGAGUACUGCGGGAAGAUGAAGGAGCUGUCGCUGAGGAUCAUGGAGCUGCUGGAGCUGAGCCAGGGCGUGGAGAAGCGCGGGUACUACCGGGAGUUCUUCGCGGACAGCAGCUCCAUCAUGCGGUGCAACUACUACCCGCCGUGCCCGGAGCCGGAGCGCACGCUGGGCACGGGCCCGCACUGCGACCCCACGGCGCUCACCAUCCUACUGCAGGACGACGUGGGCGGGCUGGAGGUCCUCGUCGACGGCGACUGGCGCCCCGUCCGCCCCGUCCCCGGCGCCAUGGUCAUCAACAUCGGCGACACCUUCAUGGCGCUGUCGAACGGGCGGUACAAGAGCUGCCUGCACCGCGCGGUGGUGAACCGGCGGCAGGAGCGGCGGUCGCUGGCCUUCUUCCUGUGCCCGCGCGAGGACCGCGUGGUGCGGCCGCCGCCGGGCCUGAGGAGCCCGCGGCGGUACCCGGACUUCACCUGGGCUGACCUCAUGCGCUUCACGCAGCGCCACUACCGCGCCGACACGCGCACCCUCGACGCCUUCACCCAGUGGUUCUCCUCCUCCUCCUCCUCGGCCCAGGAGGCGGCCUGA
rnacentral:rRNA from 1 species